AGAGUUUGAUCCUGGCUCAGGAUGAACGCUGGCGGCGUGCUUAACACAUGCAAGUCGAACGGGAACCCCUGGAUUCGUCUGGGGGGGAGAGGCGAACGGGUGAGUAACACGUAGGUGACCUGCCUCGAAGACGGGGAUAACCACUGGAAACGGUGGCUAAUACCCGAUAGUCUCGACGAUUCGGUUCGUCGAGUAAAUGUUCCGGCGCUUCGAGAGGGGCCUGCGGCCCAUCAGCUAGUUGGUAGGGUAAUGGCCUACCAAGGCAAUGACGGGUAGGGGACGUGAGAGCGUGACCCCCCACACUGGCACUGAGACACGGGCCAGACUCCUACGGGAGGCAGCAGUGAGGAAUAUUGCGCAAUGGGCGAAAGCCAGACGCAGCAACGCCGCGUGGGUGAUGAAGGCCUUCGGGUCGUAAAACCCUUUUCUGGGAGAAGAGCAAGGACGGUAUCCCAGGAAUAAGCCUCGGCUAACUAUGUGCCAGCAGCCGCGGUAACACAUAGGAGGCGAGCGUUAUCCGGAUUUACUGGGCGUAAAGAGCGUUGAGGCGGCCUUGUAAGUUGGACGUGAAAGCUCCCGGCUCAACUGGGAGAGGUCGUUCAAUACUGCAAGGCUUGAGGACAGCAGAGGGGGGUGGAAUUCCCGGUGUAGUGGUGAAAUGCGUAGAUACCGGGAGGAACACCAGUGGCGAAGGCGGCCCCCUGGGCUGCUCCUGACGCUGAAUGCGAAAGCUAGGGUAGCAAACGGGAUUAGAAACCCCGGUAGUCCUAGCCGUAAACGAUGGAUAUUAGGUGUAGGGGGUGAAAAUUCCCUCUGUGCCGAAGCUAACGCGUUAAGUAUCCCGCCUGGGGAGUACGGCCGCAAGGCUAAAACUCAAAGGAAUUGACGGGUCUCCGCACAAGCAGCGGAGCGUGUGGUUUAAUUCGAUCGACGCGAAGAACCUUACCAGGGCUUGACAUGCAGGUAGUAGUGAAGCGAAAGCGGAACGAUCCCUCGGGAAGCCUGUACAGGUGCUGCAUGGCUGUCGUCAGCUCGUGCCGUGAGGUGUUAGGUUAAGUCCUGUAACGAGCGCAACCCUCACCGUUAGUUACAUGUGUCUAGCGGAACUGCCCGGCAAAACUGGGAGGAAGGUGGGGAUGACGUCAAGUCAGCAUGGCCUUUAUGUCCUGGGCUACACACACGCUACAAUGGCCGGUACAAUGGGUCGCCAAGCCGUGAGGCGGAGCCAAUCCUCUAAAGCCGGUCUCAGUUCGGAUUGUAGGCUGCAACUCGCCUGCAUGAAGCUGGAGUUGCUAGUAACCGCAGGUCAGCUACACUGCGGUGAAUACGUUCCCGGAGAUUGUACACACCGCCCGUCACGUCAUGGGAGCUGGUAACACCUGAAGCCGGUGGGCUAACCUAACGGAGGCAGCCGUCGAAGGUGGGACUGGUGACUGGGACGAAGUCGUAACAAGGUA
rnacentral:rRNA from 1 species